rnacentral:rRNA from 1 species
AGCGAACGCUGGCGGCAGGCCUAACACAUGCAAGUCGAACGAACCUUUCGGGGUUAGUGGCGGACGGGUGAGUAACACGUGGGAACGUGCCUUUAGGUUCGGAAUAACUCAGGGAAACUUGUGCUAAUACCGAAUGUGCCCUUCGGGGGAAAGAUUUAUCGCCUUUCGAGCGGCCCGCGUCUGAUUAGCUAGUUGGUUGAGGUAAUGGCUCACCAAGGCGACGAUCAGUAGCUGGUCUGAGAGGGUGGUCAGCCACAUUGGGACUGGGACACGGCCCAGACUCCUACGGGAGGCAGCAGUGGGGAAUCUUGCGCAAUGGGCGAAAGCCUGACGCAGCCAUGCCGCGUGAAUGAUGAAGGUCUUAGGAUUGUAAAAUUCUUUCACCGGGGACGAUAAUGACGGUACCCGGAGAAGAAGCCCCGGCUAACUUCGUG